ACUUAAAGGAAUUGGCGGGGGAGCACCACAAGGGGUGAAGCUUGCGGUUUAAUUGGAGUCAACGCCGGAAAUCUCACCGGGAGCGACAGCAGUAUGAAAGCCAGAUUAAAGGUCUUGCUAGACGAGCUGAGAGGAGGUGCAUGGCCGUCGCCAGUUCGUGCCGUGAGGUGUCCUGUUAAGUCAGGCAACGAUCGAGACCCGCGUCCUCUGUUGCAACCAGCUUUGAGCUGGGCACACUGAGGAGACCGCCACUGAUAAAGUGGAGGAAGGAGCGGGCCACGGCAGGUCAGUAUGCCCCGAAUCUCCCGGGCCACACGCGAGCUGCAAUGGCAAGUACAAUGGGUUCCGACCUCGAAAGGGGGAGGCAAUCUCGAAAGCUUGCCGUAGUUGGA
rnacentral:rRNA from 1 species